GGGCCUGUAGCUCAGUUGGGAGAGCACCACAAUGGCAUUGUGGGGGUCAAGGGUUCGAGUCCCUUCAGGUCCACCA
rnacentral:tRNA from 1 species